rnacentral:rRNA from 1 species
CUGCUGCCUCCCGUAGGAGUUUGGGCCGUGUCUCAGUCCCAAUGUGGCCGUCCACCCUCUCAGGCCGGCUACUGAUCGUCGCUUUGGUAGGCCGUUACCCUGCCAACUGGCUAAUCAGACGCGGGUCCAUCGUAUACCACCGGAGUUUUUCACACUGCGCCAUGCGGCACUGUGCGCUUAUGCGGUUUUAGCACCUAUUUCUAAGUGUUAUCCCCCUGUAUACGGCAGGUUACCCACGCGUUACUCACCCGUCCGCCA